rnacentral:tRNA from 1 species
GUUCCAGUAGUGCAAUGGAUAGCGCUUUGAACUUCUAAUCCAAAGGUCGUGGGUUUGAAUCCCACCUGGGAAUG